AUUGAACGCUGGCGGCAGGCCUAAUACAUGCAAGUCGAACGAGUGGCGGACGGGUGAGUAAUGUCUGGGAACCUGCUUGAUGGAGGGGGAUAACUACUGGAAACGGUAGUUAAUACCGAAUACCAGCGGCUGUUCCCAGGUGGGAUUAGCGAGUAGGUGGGUGAAAGGCUGACCAAGGCGACGAUCCCCAGAUGAUCUGAGAGGAUGACCAGCCACACUGGAACUGAGACACGGUCCAGACUCCUACGGGAGGCAGCAGUGGGGAAUAUUGCACAAUGGGCGCAAGCCUGAUGGAGCCAUGCCGCGUGUAUGAAGAAGGCCUUCGGGUUGUAAAGUACUUUCAGCAGGGAGGCGGUACCCACAGAAGAAGCACCGGCUAACUCCGUGCCAGCAGCCGCGGUAAUAC
rnacentral:rRNA from 1 species